CCUCAAACCGGAACUGGCACAGCAGCUGUAGCCAAUCGACAUCACUAAACCGGAAGUGAAUGGCGCUCGACUCUGUCAAGGUAAAAUACUUUCGCGAUCCUUCAGCACCGCCUAUUAAAGGAUUUCGCUGCAGUCAAUCAAGAUCACGAACCGGAAGUGAAUGAGGCUCGACCGUGUCCAGUUAAAAGAACUUCCGGAUCCUUCAGCACCCCUUAUUGAAGGAUUAAGGUGUGUUGACGCCAGAGUCUCUGAGAGAAGUCACGGCAGCUGCAGGAGGACGCUGGCUCCGCUGAUCUCCGAUCCACACCUGCUAAAAAAGUCAAAUGGGUCGUCAUCAUUCCAGCAGGCACAAGACAUCGAUAUGUUGAUUUUACAUAUGUUUUAUGAAACUGACUUCUAAACAAAGUUGCAAAAUUGUUGUUUGUAAAAUUGAGACAAAGUUGAUGUUUUAACGUUGGCUCCCCAUUGUUGGUUGGGAAAUGACCAAAUUUCUAUGGUCGAAUCAACGUCAAAACACAACACUGAUUAAACUUUGUC